CUGUCAGCCACCCCAGGCCUGGCCAGGGCUCCAGCUGUCAGCCCCAGCCAUUCUGGGAAGUGGGAGAGGGGACCCUACUGCAGCCCUCCUAGGCCUGGGAAGGGUGAAGAACCCUAAGGAGCAGAGAUAUUUUUUUCAGCUGAUACUUUAGAACUAAUUAAUUUAGACAGCCCUAGUUAUCACUGAAGUAUUUGUUCCAAAGAAUCGCUGAGUUGGUGAGAAGCAGUGACAUACACAGACCGUUCAAUAAAUUACAGAUAGCUGGAUCAGCAGUGGCCGUAGGCAACACUCAUCACACUCCCACCCAUCAGGAUAAUCAUGGUGUCCUGCACCUCAGUGUAAAAAAGCAUAUGCAUAAUGGAUGCCACUAGAAAAGACUCUCCGGAUAUGCCUAAACUGCCAAUCCCUUCCAAACAGACAUAACCAAAAGAAGA